rnacentral:rRNA from 1 species
UACGAAGGGGGGCUAGCGUUGCUCGGAAUCACUGGGCGUAAAGCGCACGUAGGCGGAUGUGUCAGUCAGGGGUGAAAUCCCGGAGCUCAACUUCGGAACUGCCCUUGAUACAGCACGUCUUGAGUCCGGAAGAGGUGGGUGGAAUUCCUAGUGUAGAGGUGAAAUUCGUAGAUAUUAGGAAGAACACCGGUGGCGAAGGCGGCCUGCUGGGCAGUGAGCUGACACUGAGGCGCGACAGCGUGGGGAGCAAACAGG